rnacentral:rRNA from 1 species
UGCCAGCAGCCGCGGUAAUACGAAGGUGGCAAGCGUUGUUCGGAUUUACUGGGCAUAAAGGGCGAGUAGGCGGUCUGGCAAGCGGCGUGUGAAAUCCCGGGGCUCAACCCCGGAACUGCACACCGAACUGCCAGGCUAGAGGACGAGAGGGGGGUGUGGAACUCUAGGUGUAGCGGUGAAAUGCGUAGAUAUCUAGAAGAACGCCGGUGGCGAAAGCGACACCCUGGCUCGUCCCUGACGCUGAGGCGCGAAAGCGUGGGUAGCAAACAGGAUUAGAUA